UGGUCAAACGUGCUUUGCAUCACUCAGUCAAAUUGGGAAAUUUCGCUUCCAUUCAUUUGAGUGUUUUCCAUAUGGGGAUCGCUCCAAAGCGCCCUUUAAUCGAUUCCAAGUCCCCGCUUGGAGUAUAAUCCGAGCACAUGGAAGGAUGACUGCGAAUCGAGUCCAGACUGAAAUUGUUUGUUGUUGACGCUCGAGCUUAGAGCUCAUUACAAUUUUCAAGUACAUUUGCGCUGAUAGUUACACAGAACCAAACCAAACCAAACCGAACCAACUUCGAUGUGCGCCAUGCAGACAGACCAGCCCUUGAAACAUAUACUAUGCAAAUAUAGCACAGAUACGGAAAACUGCACUCCACUGAAGGAGGAAAUCCGUGAGGGGAAAUGUGGGUAAAAUUCAGACCCUCCAGCGGGGCAAACUGUUGGCCAGGCACAAAUGUCUGCUGACCAUUAAAUUCACUUCACUUCAUUUAAAUCUGAAGCAUUGCUGGGCGAGACUUCUGCGGACAUCCCAGGGCCAUGCCUGUUCGUAAAAGUUUUUCAAUAACACAAGAAAAUUCAUCGAGGAGGUGGCUGGCUGACAACUGCAAAUAAUAGCUUGGCCCUCUAAGGACAUUGAAACAUUUACACCGUGUUGCCCUCCUUUCAGAUUGAGAACAUAAGCUCUGAAAUCAGGGCCUUAUAUAGUGUGGGC
ensembl:ncRNA lncRNA:CR44460 long non-coding RNA:CR44460